rnacentral:lncRNA from 1 species
UCGACAAACUAACUUUCAUUACCUGAAACACCAAAUUACUAGACUUCAGUUCUUUCUUGCCUCACUAGCACCCUUGCUGAGUUCGGUGCUUCCUUAUCCGUACGAGAUGUGGGCCGAGACACGAGCCGAGACGUGAGCCGAGUAGUGUAUGGGAGAUAGACUCUUGCUGCUAUUGGAUUAGCGAUCGAGAUGGGUUCCGAGUCGUCGAAAAUGACGAAUUUUCUUCUGUGU